rnacentral:tRNA from 1 species
GGCCCUAUCGUCUAGCUGGUUAGGACACGGCCCUCUCAAGGCCGGAGCACGGGUUCGAGCCCCGUUAGGGCUA